GUGGGGGUGGCAGAUGAAUGCGUUCGUUUUAAGCUCGACAGAUGGGCUAUAGGCCCUCCCCAUU
rnacentral:tRNA from 1 species